AGAGUUUGAUCCUGGCUCAGAUUGAACGCUGGCGGCAUGCCUUACACAUGCAAGUCGGACGGCAGCGCGGGCUUCGGCCUGGCGGCGAGUGGCGAACGGGUGAGUAAUACAUCGGAACAUGUCCAGUAGUGGGGGAUAGCCCGGCGAAAGCCGGAUUAAUACCGCAUACGCUCUGAGGAGGAAAGCGGGGGAUCUUCGGA
rnacentral:rRNA from 1 species